UAGAUUAUUAUAAAGAAAAUUAUUUGUUUUUACAGAAAGGAUUAAUGAGGGUCAACAAUUAAUUAGCAAUGCAAUAAUUCAAUGAGUAAUAUACAAUUAAAGCCACUGAGAGUUACAAAUGUGGAAGAUGAAGGAACUAUUUUCUAACACCCUCGUCAUCUUCAGUACUUGUUUUGCAGCAUAUCGUUGUUCCUUCAUAUCCUUGUGGACUGUUUAUUCAUCACUGGAAAGAACAAAAAACUCACCUUUAUAAACUUAGAUUCCUCCUGCUCAUUCCACCUAGGAGCAUAUAUUUUCAAGGUAGAAUAAUAGUAUAUCAACUUGCAUAGAUCUAUUAUGUAAUUCUUUUUAAUCCCGUUGUGUCGUUUGUAUGUGUUAUUAUAUAACAUGCAACUUGCUUUAUUACAGUACAGAGACUCCAAUUAACGACUUAUGUUCGUUCACUGUCAUCUCUUAAAUUUUGAAAGGCUGGGUUAUUAUUCGGUGCUAAUACUUUAUUUGUUCAGUUGAUAUUUUCCAGUUAUCUAUUAUGUUUACUUGUUGAAAGAGCCUCUCUACCUUUGAGGUAGAGGCAUGGUCUGCGUAUACUUUACCCGCCCCAGACCUCAUUUUGUGGGACUACACUGGAUAUGUUAUUUUUAUUGCUAUUAUGUUACUUGUUCUUUUCUAUUGGAGUGCUUCUUUCCAUUUCAACAAAAGAGAAUACAGAUGAUAUUCAAGUGAAAGUUUUAGAAAUCCAUAGGAACUUGACUUUGGAAUUCUCAACUAUUAGUAUGAAAUAUGUUACUCAAGUGAAACAUAUGGAUACUAUACUAAAUGUGAGUUUAAAUCUAUGAGCAGAAAUAAAGCCUUAAGUCUUCCCCCAUCUACCAAGCACGCCUUUGACGCUCUCCAUUGUUUCUGUUAAGCAUGAUAUAACAGUGCAUUACUUUCUUUCAUCAUUCCGCUAAAAUUAGAGUUAACUUUCACUCAUAGAAUAGUUAUUAUCUUAGGAAGUCACUUUCUUUGUUGAGAAAGAUUGAAAUCGAAGAAGCAUCUCUCUGAGAUGAUAACUAAUAGUUGAGUGACCACACGAGAAAUUAACCCCUCAAAUUAUGUUCUUUUGCGGGAUAUUAUGUCUUUUAAAAGCUCUCACAUCAAACAUACUGCACUUCACAUCAACCAUCCACUUCAAAGGAAGAGCUUGCUCCAAAGCCAAAGUUUUCACUUUUACAAUUCAAAACCACAGGAAUUGAGAGCUAAAUUGCUCAAACUUUUCAAAGUUACAGAAUUUUCUAGUCAAAUUAUAAUUGCAUUUGCUAACAAUUUUUUUUUAGUGCUUUGGAACCUUAUGAUGCUUAACCUUUGUCCUAUCUUUUCUUGUUCAGUUCAAAAGCCUUACAGAAGGCAAUAACUUGUACUCCCUCCAUUUCAAUUUGUUUGUCUUUCCUUUUUUAGUAUGUUGUAAAAAGAAUGUCUCUUUAUUUCUUUCGGCAACUUUUUAGUUCUAACUUUCUGCAUGACAUGCUUGACAUGUUUAAGACCACAAGAUUAACGCACAUUUUGUUACAUUCUACAUAUCUUUAGUUUAAGACCAUAAUAGACAAAAAUCUUCUUUCUUAAACUCUGCACCAAGUCAAAACAAUACAAAUAGUUUGAAACAAAGUGAGUACAUAGAGAAGGAUUUCACAGCUAGGAAAAAAAAGCAUCUUUUAAACAAAUGUGAACCAAUUCAAAAAUUAGAUCUUUGAAUAUCCUAUGUAGCUCGGACUAUUCAAAAAUGUCAAUAGAUGUACGUUGUAUCAUUCAAAAGUAGCAUACUUUUAUACUUUUGGAGGAUCUGACAAGGUGCAACAACAUUUUUGAAGAGUCCGAGCAACAUUUCAAUUUGUUUGUCCUACUUUUCUUUUCAGUUCGCUUAGAAAACAACACAUUUUUCCUUUUCUACAACUCUUCAAUUUCAAUUUUUCUCAACUACGCAAAAUCAAAAAGCACAUUUGGUACAUUCUAUCAAUCAAAUAAGUAUCUACUAUAUAAUUUCGUAAAAUCUGUAUCAAGUCAAAAUUAAACAAACAAAUUAAAAUGAAGCUUCGCAAUUACCUUUCAUAUUAAAGGAAGAGGAAUUAUUUUAGGGAGCAGGUGAGUAAGCCAUAUAAGGAUUCGAUCCACGUUCAUCGGACGGCAUAGAUCUCAUCGGUGCCGCUGAUUCUUCUACCAAUUCCUCGUUCCACCUCACCAAUUUCCUCAAUUUCUCCAAUUUACCACUCUCAUUGGUACUUUCAGGUUGUUCCGGAUCAGAUUUUGGAUCCGGCUUUUGAACCUGAUCCGAAUCCUAACCCGAAUUACUCUUCUGCUCCGCACCGUUUGGAUGAUCCAUCGCUGUUGAGUUUUCAACGGCGGCACGUGAAAUGGCGACGAUGUAUUUUUAGCAAAACUCUACUACUUUAACUCCCUGUUAGAAACACAACAUGCAAUUUGCAAUCAAAUAAUAGAUACAUAUGGAUUAACUUCUCACAGAUGCCGACUGCAGAAUAGUUCUAUUUGUAACUCCGAUUGCCAUGUUCAGAGGAAG
rnacentral:lncRNA from 1 species